AUGUCAGCGUUCAAUCAGUUCUACAACUUAGUAGGCAAUAACUUUGGAGCCCUAAACACUACGGUGGUUGCAUUAUUGCCAAAAAAGGAUGGAGCAGUGUCAAUCAACGACUACAAGCCAAUCAGCCUCAUCCACUCCAUAGCAAAGUUGAUCUCCAAAGCACUCUCCCCGAGGCUUGCCAACGUGAUCCACACGCUCAUCUCACCAGCACAGUCGGCAUUUCUUCGGACAAAAUGCAUCCACGACAGUUUCCUAUAUGUUCAAAACGGCAUCAAGGCUCUACAUAGACGGAAAACACCGGCUCUGCUUCUCAAGUUAGACAUAGCAAAGGCCUUCGACAAUGUGUCUUGGGAGUACAUCCUAGAGAUGCUGCAAAAAUGGGGUUUCAGUGCGCGAUGGAGAUAUUGGAUAUCCUUGCUGCUGUCCUCCUCCUCGUCGUCCUUCCUCCUCAAUGGUGUACCCAGAAAGCAUAUCCGACGCCGGAGAGGCCUACGGCAGGGCGACCCCUUGUCACCUUUCCUCUUCAUCCUAGCGAUUGACACACUACACCACCUACUUCAGGCCGCAGCUGAACAACACAUCAUCGCACCACUGCCAGGGCAGGAGCUAAAGAUUAAGAUUAGUUUAUACGCUGACCAUGCCGUCAUCUUCACAAAUCCGGUUAGGCAGGAGAUUGAUGCACUGAUGGAGAUCCUGCGCGAUUUUGGCGCAACCACCUGGCUACACAUCAACCCCUCAAAGUCAACGGCAUUACUCAUUAGAUGUGCGAAUAUAGACCUAGGGCAUGUGUUACAAAAAUUUGGAGGGGCAGAGGGGAAUUUCCCAACCACCUACUAG
rnacentral:rRNA from 1 species